AGUGAACGCUGGCGGCAGGCCUAACACAUGCAAGUCGAACGGCAGCACAGCAGUAGCAAUACUGUGGGUGGCGAGCGGCGGACGGGUGAGGAAUACAUCGGAAUCUGCCUAGUCGUGGGGGAUAACGUAGGGAAACUUACGCUAAUACCGCAUACGACCUACGGGUGAAAGCGGGGGAUCGCAAGACCUCGCGCGAUUAGAUGAGCCGAUGUCCGAUUAGCUAGUUGGCGGGGUAAUGGCCCACCAAGGCGACGAUCGGUAGCUGGUCUGAGAGGAUGAUCAGCCACACUGGAACUGAGACACGGUCCAGACUCCUACGGGAGGCAGCAGUGGGGAAUAUUGGACAAUGGGCGCAAGCCUGAUCCAGCCAUGCCGCGUGGGUGAAGAAGGCCUCGGGUUGUAAGCCCUUUGUCCGGUAAGAAAAGGACACUAGGAUUAAUACUUACGGUGUUC
rnacentral:rRNA from 1 species